rnacentral:lncRNA from 1 species
AAAAUUUUCAAAACAACAACACAUAAGCCUAGAUCUAAACUUGAAGAUUCAGUUUCAAACUUUUCUAUUUUUUUUACCUUUUCAAAAAGAAAUUCAUUCCACACACAGAUUCACAAAAUAACAAUGAAACAACCGGUUACCUAUUUAGAUCGGAGAUAGUUAGAUCGCGACGGAAAACUUCAAGAUUCCUCUCUAAACUUUGAAUUCGCUUUUGUUCUUCAAACUCGGUUCUGAUACUUGUUGAAACGGCGCGAUUGAGCCUUUGCUUAGAUCGGAUCCGUUACUCUUGUUGUUGUGGGUUCGG